GACGAACCGUGCGAACGUUGUUCGGAUUCAUUGGGCGUAAAGGGUGCGUAGGCGGCGCGGUAAGUCGGGUGUGAAAUCUCGGAGCUUAACUCCGAAACUGCAUUCGAUACUGCCGUGCUUGAGGACUGGAGAGGAGACUGGAAUUUACGGUGUAGCGGUGAAAUGCGUAGAUAUCGUAAGGAAGACCAGUGGCGAAGGCGGGUCUCUGGACAGUUCCUGACGCUGAGGCACGAAGGUCAGGGGAGCAAACGGG
rnacentral:rRNA from 1 species